CGUGCAGGCGGGUUGGUAAGUCAGAUGUGAAAGCCCUGGGCUCAACCCAGGAAGUGCAUUUGAAACUGCCAUCCUUGAGUAUGGGAGAGGAGAGUGGAAUUCCCAAUGUAGAGGUGAAAUUCGUAGAUAUUGGGAGGAACACCCGUGGCGAAGGCGACUCUCUGGACCAAUACUGACGCUGAGACGCGAAAGCGUGGGGAGCGAACA
rnacentral:rRNA from 1 species